UACGUAGGUGGCAAGCGUUGUCCGGAAUGAUUGGGCGUAAAGCGCGCGCAGGUGGUUUCUUAAGUCUGAUGUGAAAGCCCACGGCUCAACCGUGGAGGGUCAUUGGAAACUGGGGAACUUGAGUGCAGAAGAGGAAAGUGGAAUUCCAAGUGUAGCGGUGAAAUGCGUAGAGAUUUGGAGGAACACCAGUGGCGAAGGCGACUUUCUGGUCUGUAACUGACACUGAGGCGCGAAAGCGUGGGGAGCAAACAGG
rnacentral:rRNA from 1 species